ACGAAGCCGGAAGGCCUUCGCCACCUCUGCCGCCACAUCUCUUGUGCGGGCGGCUGAGGCGUUUAGUAGAGGUUGUUCGAAGCAUUUGCUGUGUGCUCGGGUGAAGCUGCAGAUUUCAGAGGUGUAUCUCAAAGCUGCCGUGCUGCCGUUGCACACUGGUUCCCAAACGCCGCCUUCCCUGCCCCAGCCUGAUGUUACUCUGUGAACAGACCCACGCGCUGUGGUGCUUCGGGCCGUUCUGUUAGCUUUCCUCUUCUCCAUCGCAGCCAUCACCCUGUGAGGCAAAUGCUUUGAUAGUACAUCUCCUUACUCUCCAGUGUGCUGACGACACACGUAUUUCGCAAGGCCUUCUUGCUGUAUCAUGGGGACUUUAAUCUGCAGGGCUGUGACUCACGCUGCCUGGUGGAGCAGCCUUACCAGCACUGCACAGCCAGCUGGUGGCCUCGAGGCUCCUCCUGCCUCCCAGCCUUCUUGAAAUGAGUGUGGUUUAUCGGGCAGAAGAGAGGAACUGGGCUGAUCGGUUCAGAGUCUGAAAGAGAUUUAUGUUUUCCUUCGGUUAUGAAAAUAACUGUAUAUCAAACACCACCAGCACGAUAUAAAAGUGCUGUCCUCCCUCACCUCUCCCCUGAACGCUCCCUUUCCAGCAUUCAUCCUGCAGGGAGCUGUGCUGCUGGGACAAGGCUUCAAAUUCACGGGUUACAUGAAGUAUUGGUUUCUGUGGCAGGAGAGACGCACAGGAUGGCGAUCUGAAAACAGGAUGUGUUCGGGGCACAUCCGUCUGCUUCUCUAUUUUGAUUGUACUUGGAGAUUCAUUUCCUUUUCAUGGCUGCCUGUGGCUUGGCAACCUGCUGAGUGACUUGGUGACCACACAUCACCUUUGGUCUUGUGACAAAAAGGGUGGGUUUUUUUUUGGAAAUGUAAGGUUUGGAAAACAGAAAUGCAGCGCUGAGUUUGGGUUGCAGGAGAGAAAUGCAGUCUGUUUUGGGUGGGUUCAUACUGCAGGGUUACGGCCUGCAGAGACAGACGCAGACUCAGGCCCAGGAGGGUGACCUGCCCUUCCCAGCCAUCCAGCAAACGAUGACUUCCAUUUCAUUUUUGAGAAGAUCAGACCUUAAAACUGACAGUUUACAGAUCAGAAUUAUGCAGUGCUUUCCCUUUCUGGAACUGACCUAUACCUGCUCUCAGUAAUGACUUAAUUUAGCCCCUGCUAUUGGAAGUUCUGCAACAUAUACAGGUGGAAAAUUUGAACAAUUGGAUUGCUAGCAUACAUUGGAGUGCUGUUCUUCAUGAGGACCAAAACAAUUAAAUUAGGCAUUGAUCUCAUUAAAACUACAUCUUAAAUCAGAGCGUAUCAAUGUAUCAGAUGAGCAUGUAAGUAUCUAUCUGCAAGGAGGGAUAUAUUUACUGUAACUGGGAAUAAGUGACUUGUUUACAGGAGUGUCACAGGCUGGUCAUCAAAUAGUUGUAAAUGGCAGAAGCAUCUGGCAAAACCACAGCUGUUAAAGACACAUCUCAAUAAUAUGAUUGUAUUAGCCAUCAGGUGUCCCGAAGCUAAGGUGCAAAGUUCAUGUUAAUCAUUUUCAGUUGCAUGGCAUUCUGGGAAAGACUGCCUCUUACCUUUCGCAGGGCUUGGACCUGUAGAUUCCACGUAGUGCCAAAAAUACCAGGAUCCUGGUUCUACCAAUGUUUCACUCUAUUGUUUUUUGAAACCAUCUCUCAAAACAAUUAAGACUUGGAAUUUCCUGGUUUGGUACACACUGAACAGAAGAGCUGGAUCAGAAGCAGAUUUUCAUGCAGUUCUAUUUGCAUUUAGCUGCUCUUGUCUUCAAACAGAGGGGAAAAGAGAUUUUUGAAAGUUAUCUAUCAUUUGAGAAAGUAGAAAUGAGAGUGGGAACAAAGGAGCCAGUCUGACAUCUGUUACUGUCCUGAAAAUGGAUGUGGUGGUACACUAGUCAAGUAUUCUCCUCUUUUUUUUUUAAUUGUGUGUAAAGAUUGUUGUAUUUAUUUCAUAUGAAUAGAGAGGUUAAUUGCAUUUUGUUAUUCAUAGCAGUGCAUUUCUUAAACUGAGUGCUUUACCAGAUGCACUGUACGUACACCUCAGCGACUAACGGGAUUCUGCCCUACCUGGAUGAGCUGAAACUGGUGAGCUUCAGCAGAGGUAUUCACCAAACCACAGUUGUUAUGUAGGCUUUGUGAAAGGUUUUGAAGAUUUGUUUUUGUUUGAAAUCUGCACAUCAACAUCACAGUCUCAUAGCCAACAUUUUGUCAGCACUGUUCGGUGCCGUAUGCUUUUACGCAGUGACAAAAGGUAAACUGUAAUGUCAGCCAUUUUGUGCUUCCUGUUCAGUGUUCCUCAUCGUGGUUCUCCUAUGCCAGGAUAAAAUAGAAGAAGUCCACUUACAGUUGAUCUGAUUGACUACGGUGCAUCAUAAAACAAAUGCUGUCCUUUCCAGUUUAGCGAUCUAACCAAGACUGGUUUCAAAGCAUCUUCAUGGGCAGUGGGUUGGUUUGAUAGGACCUCUCAAAGUUCUAACAUAAUAGCUUUCACUUUAUACAUAUAUGUAUAUAUUUAAUGUCACGUUAAAGUUCAUGGUUAAGUAAACAUCUGCCCU
ensembl:lncRNA